UUAAUUGUCUUACUUCCUCCGUGAAUGUAAACUCUUGGAGAGCGAGAACUUUGUCAUCCUUGCUGGUGUAUGCCCCGAUUCUGGAAGGAUGCAUGGGAGACAGAGGCAUAGAGCAGACAGCUGCAGAAGGAUGAAGCCGUCUCCCUUUGUGGAGGCACCGCCAGCCCACUAAGUCAGGAGCCUGCCCUGGCUCUCCUCUGCCCCUGCAUACACUAAAUUGCUGGGGACAUUUCGGGCUUGAGCCCGGGUUCAGAGCCAGCCAGGGCUCUCAGAGGGAGCUGAAGACGCCCGCUCCACAGCCACCUGGUGGAGUCAUUGUGAAAGUCAAGUGAGGUGCGCGCUGCGAAGGAUUUGGGAAAACUACAUAUUCUUCUCGACGAAGACUUUUUGGUAGCCACGCAUGGAAAUGAAGGUCUGUGGUCGGUGAUGCUGAGUUAUCUAACACGCACUAUACUCCGGGUGUCUACACGAAAGUGUUCUAGA